rnacentral:misc_RNA from 1 species
UCCGGUUUGUCACCGGCAGUCUCAUUAGAGUGCCCUUGCGUAGCAACUAAUGAUAAGGGUUGCGCUCGUUGCGGGACUUAACCCAACAUCUCACGACACGAGCUGACGACAGCCAUGCAGCACCUGUGUUCCAAUUCCCUUUCGGGCACCCCCGCAUCUCUGCAGGGUUCUGGACAUGUCAAGGGUAGGUAAGGUUUUUCGCGUUGCAUCGAAUUAAUCCACAUCAUCCACCGCUUGUGCGGGUCCCCGUCAAUUCCUUUGAGUUUUAAUCUUGCGACCGUACUCCCCAGGCGGUCAACUUCACGCGUUAGCUUCGUUACUAAGGGAUUUCACUCCCCCAACAACCAGUUGACAUCGUUUAGGGCGUGGACUAC